UUGUCUAAUUCUCUGUGCAUGAUGAUCAAAUUGUCUCAAUUAAAUUGUGAUAAGAAAAUUUAAUGUGUCACAAUUUUUUGAAUUUUGUUGUGUGAACAUUUGCCAUAUGGUAUUAAGCUCUUUCAACUCCAGCUUUUGGGACUUCAAUGAUGGGACUUGAAAUGUGGGGGUUAUAAUGCUGCUUUAUUGGCUUGGUGACUCGCUUUGGAGCAUGCUUUUGAAAGGGGUUUUGCAGACACAUUUUUUUGAAGUAUAAUCUUACAUCUUUUCACAGUUGUUGCAUGCUCCACAAAGUAAGGUAGUCUUUUAGAGUCGGAUGCGUUGGUUUACCAAACUUGUCGACAAGAAAAAUAUCUUCUAGGUCUAGUUUGUAUAUUUUAAAGUUCUGAUCGCUUGGCCAACCUGCAACAACAAUCAGUAAAUUAAAAAACAGAAAAUGUUUGCAACCUGUGGAGGGCGACUUGGGCAAACUUAACUUCAGGAUCUUCCAGGCUGAUCCAUGUUAACUGUAAGCAUAUCAAAUUUAAU